UCCGGGAAUCCCCUAGUACGGCGAGUGAGCGGGAAGAGCUCAAAUUUGAAAUCUGGUAGCCUUCGGUUGCCCGAGUUGUAAUCUAGAGAAGUGUUUUCCGUGCCGGCCCAUGUACAAGUCCCUUGGAACAGGGCGUCAUAGAGGGUGAGAAUCCCGUCCUUGACAUGGACCCCCGGUGCUUUGUGAUACACUUUCAACGAGUCGAGUUGUUUGGGAAUGCAGCUCAAAAUGGGUGGUGAAUUCCAUCUAAAGCUAAAUAUUGGCGAGAGACCGAUAGCGAACAAGUACCGUGAGGGAAAGAUGAAAAGCACUUUGGAAAGAGAGUUAAACAGUACGUGAAAUUGUUGAAAGGGAAACGAUUGAAGUCAGUCAUGCUCUUGGGACUUACCUCCCUUGAGUGGGGUCAACAUCAGUUUUGAUCGAUGGAUAAAGGCACGGGGAAGGUAGCACUCUCGGGUGAACUUAUAGCCUCGCGUCAUAUACAUUGAUUGGGACUGAGGAACGCAGCAUGCCUUAUGGCCGGGAUUCGUCCACGUACAUGCUUAGGAUGUUGACAUAAUGGCUUUAAACGACCCGUCUUGAACCACGGACCA
rnacentral:rRNA from 1 species